GGGCGAUUAGCUCAGUUGGGAGAGCGCCUGCCUUACAAGCAGGAUGUCGGCGGUUCAAGUCCGUCAUCGCCCACCA
rnacentral:tRNA from 3 species